CAGGGAGUGCUUGCACUCUGCUGACGACCGGCGCACGGGUGCGUAACGCGUAUGCAACCUACCUUUUACAGGGGGAUAGUCAAGAGAAAUUUUGAAUAAUACCCCAUACGAUCCUGAUAUCACCUGAUAUUUGGAAGAAAACUUCGGUGGUAAAAGAUGGGCAUGCGUCCUAUUAGUUAGUUGGUGAGGUAACGGCUCACCAAGACAGCGAUAGGUAGGGGUCCUGAGAGGGAGAUCCCCCACACUGGCACUGAGACACGGACCAGACUCCUACGGGAGGCAGCAGUGAGGAAUAUUGGACAAUGGAGGCAACUCUGAUCCAGCCAUGCCGCGUGCAGGAAGACUGCCCUAUGGGUUGUAAACUGCUUUUAUACAGGAAGAAACCUACUUACGUGUAAGUAGCUGACGGUACUGUACGAAUAAGGAUCGGCUAACUCCGUGCCAGCAGCCGCGGUAAUACGGAGGAUCCAAGCGUUAUCCGGAAUUAUUGGGUUUAAAGGGUCCGUAGGUGGUUUGCUAAGUCAGAGGUGAAAUCCUACCGCUUAACGGUAGCACUGCCUUUGAUACUGGCAAACUUGAGUUAUUGUGAAGUAGUUAGAAUGUGUAGUGUAGCGGUGAAAUGCAUAGAUAUUACACAGAAUACCGAUUGCGAAGGCAGAUUACUAACAAUAUACUGACACUGAGGGACGAAAGCGUGGGUAGCGAACAGGAUUAGAUACCCUGGUAGUCCACGCCGUAAACGAUGGUCACUAGCUGUUUGACUAACAUUGGUUAGUUGAGUGGCUAAGCGAAAGUGAUAAGUGACCCACCUGGGGAGUACGCUCGCAAGAGCGAAACUCAAAGGAAUUGACGGGGGCCCGCACAAGCGGUGGAGCAUGUGGUUUAAUUCGAUGAUACGCGAGGAACCUUACCAGGGCUUAAAUGUAAGUUGCAUGGACCAGAGAUGGACCUUUCUUCGGACUACUUACAAGGUGCUGCAUGGUUGUCGUCAGCUCGUGCCGUGAGGUGUCAGGUUAAGUCCUAUAACGAGCGCAACCCCUAUCGUUGGUUGCCAGCAAGUAAAGUUGGGUACUCUAGCGAGACUGCCGGUGCAAACCGUGAGGAAAGUGGGGGAUGACGUCAAAUCAUCACGGGCCCUUACGUCCUGGG
rnacentral:rRNA from 1 species